UACGUAGGUGGCAAGCGUUGUCCGGAUUUAUUGGGUUUAAAGGGCGCGUAGGCGGCCUCUUAAGUCGAACGUGAAAUCCCCGGGCUCAACCCGGGAACUGCGUCCGAUACUGGGAGGCUUGAAUCCGGGAGAGGGAUGUGGAAUUCCAGGUGUAGCGGUGAAAUGCGUAGAUAUCUGGAGGAACACCGGUGGCGAAGGCGGCAUCCUGGACCGGUAUUGACGCUGAGGCGCGAAAGCCAGGGGAGCAAACGGG
rnacentral:rRNA from 1 species